UGUGGGCGCGUGGCGUUAGCUUCCCCUUUCAUCUCGGCCGCGAGCUCGGUACAGAACCGCGCGACUCCCAGGCAGAUCCCCCCCUAUCCGUCCAAUGAGCUCGCGCCUAGCCUCCUUUCGCGCGGAGUAUAAAACCGGGUCCUCCUCUCGUCCAGCCACCCAUGGGCGCCAAGGCCUCUGAUUGUGUCGCCACCGGGGGCCAUGAGGCAGGGAGACCCGCCGUCCGCCACCAUGGCUAAACACGCGCACACGCCGUCGCGCGGACCUGGCCAUGGCAAUAGGGUAUUCGCUGGUAAUCGGGAAAGGUGUGCGUGGCAUCAUCAGGCAAAAAACGGCGACCUCGAUAGAUGAAUUCCUCGCCGAAGGUGGAGCUCCACCGCAGGUCCGUCGCACGUCGUGGCCAAGGCAUUUGCGCUACUAGAAUCACGGUUAAGGACAGGUACCACAGGAUGAGGCGCAUGAAGGAUGUCGUGAUGGUGUUCGUGACAGGUCUAGGCCGUCAUCUGCUAGUCAACUAUGGUUGCUGGAUUGUGGUCUUCGUAUGAUGUAAUCAUUUAUCUAUUUUGUACAGAACUCCGUUAUAUAUUAAUGGUGUGACAUUUGUUUCUGUA